CCUACGGGGGGCUGCAGUGAGGAAUAUUGGGCAAUGCCCGCAAGGGUGACCCAGCAACGCCGCGUAGAGGAUGAAGGCCGUAAGGUUGUAAACUCCUGUUAGAGGAGAAGAAUAGUACCGAUUGGAUCGGUAUUUGACUGUACCCCCAGAGAAAGCCCCGGCUAACUACGUGCCAGCAGCCGCGGUAAUACGUAGGGGGCAAGCGUUAUCGGGUGUAACUGGGUGUAAAGGGCGAGCAGGCGGGAGAGCUGAAAUCCUACAGCUUAACUGUAGAACUGCCUUUGAUACUGUUAUUCUUGAGUUCGGGAGAGAGAGACGGAAUUCCAGGUGUAGUGGUGAAAUACGUAGAUAUCUGGAAGAACACCAGUUGCGAAGGCGGUCUCUUGGUCCGAUACUGACGCUGAGGCGCGAAAGCGUGGGGAGCAAACAGGAUUAGAUACCCCUGUAGUC
rnacentral:rRNA from 1 species